rnacentral:rRNA from 1 species
GAGUUUGAUCGUGGCUCAGAUUGAACGCUGGCGGCAUGCCUUACACAUGCAAGUCGAACGGUAACAGGUCUUCGGAUGCUGACGAGUGGCGAACGGGUGAGUAAUACAUCGGAACGUGCCCGAUCGUGGGGGAGUAACGAAGCGAAAGACUUUGCUAAUACCGCAUAAGAUCUACGGAUGAAGCAGGGACCGCAAGGCCUUGCGCGAACGGAGCGGCCGAUGGCAGAUUAGGUAGUUGGUGGGAUAAAAGACUUACCAAGCCGACGAUCUGUAGCUGGUCUGAGAGGACGACCAGCCACACUGGGACUGAGACACGGCCCAGACUCCUACGGGAGGCAGCAGUGGGGAAUUUUGGACAAUGGGCGAAAGCCUGAUCCAGCCAUGCCGCGUGCAGGAUGAAGGCCUUCGGUUGUAAC